rnacentral:rRNA from 1 species
UUCGACCUGAACUCAGACGUUGUUACCCGCUG